UUCUGCAUUACGCGUUAGUUCUUUGCCCUUGUUCUCAUCGAAGAUAUUAUUGUGACUGGGAUAUUCUGCAUUUAAUUAUUGAUACAAUUUUCUCGACAUCAUGGGAAAGUAUAUUGUUACAGGAGCGCUUUUUCUGUAUGUGCUGAUGAUGAUAAUUCCAUUGGCACGAUUGGGAACGGUGGCGGCGUCAACAACAGCUGCAACAGCCGCAGCAGCUGCAACAACAACCACCAAUAGUGCAAGUACGACAACCCAGGAGAGUGGGAGUGCAGGCCAAGGAAUAACAUUCGGAUCUUCCGUGAUUGUUACCUCCCUUAUUUGUGUAUCACUAUUUUUAUAAGACAGUGUUGUAUUUGGUUGCAUUUCCUUUAUUUAAUAUUUGAACUUAAACUACAAUCUUUUAUGUUGUGUUGGCCAUGCACAUAUUAACAGAAAUAGAUACGACGUAUCCGUGAACCUGUACAUGAAGCAGAUUUCGAGAGUUCUCUUUUAACUCGCUCUUAUCGCAUUUAUUCAAUACAUUUGGAACCCCUCGGCCAUUUUUAUCGAAAACAACCUCGGAUGUAUGCCGGUACAUCAGUUGAAGUAGUUCGUACUUUUUUGAAUUAUAGCAUUAAUUAAAUGGAGUGUUUUAGUGAUGUAUUUAUUGAUCUAAUUUUAAAUUGAUUGCCACUGAAGUGCAUUAUUGUAAACGUAAUUUAAAUCCCAAGAGUUAAGUCAUAAAAUUUAACUACUAAAUAAAAUUACUACGCGACCUACUUGCAGCGGACUUAAACGUACCACUUUUGAGUAUGUAAACCGUCCAAAUACAUCCCAUUCGGAGCUCCUCGGCCAUUUUUUCAAAAACAACCUCGGAUGUAUGCCGGUAUAUCUGUUGAAGUAGUCCGUAUUUUUUUUGUCCGGAUGUAUGCAGGUAUAUCUGUUGAAGUAGUCCGUAUUUUUUUUAAUAAAAGCAUUAAUUAAAUGUAGUGUUUAAGAGUUGUAUUCAUUGCUCUCAGUUUAAAUUGAUUGCCAGUGAAGUGUAUUAUUGCAAACAUAAUUACGAUUCCCAAGAGUUAAGUCAUAAAUUUUAACUACUAAAUAAGAUUACUAUGCGAUCUAUUUGCAGCGGACUUAAACGUAUCACUUUUUAAGUAUGUAAACCGUCCAUAUACAUCCGAGGUUGUUUUUGAAAAAAUGGCCGAGGAGUUCCGAAUGAAUACAUCCAUGUUUUCGAUAAAAAUGGCCGCGGAGUUCCGAAUGAAUUCAAUACUAUAAUUAUUCGACAUUCGGAACUCCUUGUCCAUUUGCUUUCAAUAAAAAUAGCCCAAGAGUUCCAAAUGUUUUUUUUUAAAUAAUAAUGUAAACAUAACUUGAUGACGUAGUGCACACAAACACUUUUACACAUACAAGUUUCCGUACACCAAUUAUUGCCUGUAUAAAAAGCGUUUCAAAACCCCUAUAUACUAUUAACUCAUUUCUGAAGCGGAGCCUCGUUUUUGUGUUUUCUUCCUGUUUGGUUCAUCUUAAGCUGUACGUAGAAAUAAAACCAAGGUCAUGCGAAAUGUUUUUUUCUUGAACAACUACAAGAUCCAGGGCCUAUCAUCCAGAAUAAACGUUAGAGGGAAACUAUUUUGGACUAAAAUUGUAAAAGAGUAUCCCUUAACCCCCUGCCAACUAAAUUUCAGUUCGGGGGCUGGAGAAUUGCAAGUCAAAAGCUUACGCGCCAUAAAUAACGCCACCUCUUACGUCAAACCCCGGAUACGCCCCGGUUUGCACUAACAUCUGUCAAAGAACGUGACAAAUGCCCCCGAUUAGUCAUUGUUGGAUGAAUGAAUAGUCAUUAGUAUAUAACAUGUGAAUAAAACGUU